CAUUAGAUAUGGGAGUCAAUAGGAAAUGGCAACAGUCACGCGAAUUGAAAGAGAUUGGCCCACAAACCUGUUUCCCCCUACUCUCAUCUCUUACGGAACAUUCGAUCGCGGAAUAAGAAGUUUUGAUUGACUGGCGUAAAACGUAUACAAAUCAAUAAUGCGAAAAGGAAAAUAUGUAUAACGAAUAAUUUUCUGUAAAUCUAUAUUCUUUUUCACUAUAUAAUAAAGAAAGAGAGAAGCUUGUAAACUUAAAUAAUACGAAGAAAACAGAAGGUAAUAUUACGAAACAAAUUUACAAGCAAUAUUUCUUGUUUGAUAUUAAUAUAUAUUUUUAAAUAUUUUAAACGAUAAAACAGAGAAAAAUAUUAAUAGUCGAUUAUCAAAAUUCUUUAGUUAAUUUCUAAUAGUAAAUUGUAAAGAACAGAAGGUGUGAAAAAAAGAAAAGACCAGAAACGAAAAAAGAAAAAUAAUUUGUCCAGUUAAUGGAAGUAUCAUCGAGAAAUUUUGCUUACUUACUUCCGACCCACGACAUUUCGGCUCUUUCUAUCACAGAAUACGUGGUAUUGAUUAACUGCAUAGAAUAUAAUAACUCCUUCCACCGAGCCACGCCUCAGAAAUUAACUAGUCACCCGAUAUGGCGAUAUUCGGAAGAAAUUCUCCUGCAGAAGUCAUCCUUUCAAUAAUUUUUGAAGGAGUAAUACGCAAAGGUAUACGAGACUAACCGAAGGCAAAAGCAAUUCCAAUUUCUGGGAAGUAUUGCAGAGGAUCCGUAUUGAACGAUAUCUGGAUUCUAAUUACGUCCAAAGAAGAUAUAUGGAUUUCAACUAAGCCCAAUGUGAUCAUUAAACAUUUGACAUCCAAAAUGAUACACUCUUCAAUUGGUACUUCCUGUUCUUCCUCACAUCCGACGAUUCGUUCUACUUGGCUAGUAGAAAUGUCCGAAAGUCAACGAGCGUAGGAAAUGGAAACGUUUACCUCUUCAGACUUAUAUUUAAAUGAUAUUUUAUCAUGGCGACUAGAAUAUUUCUAUUGAUGAACAUUAUUCGAGCAUAUUGAAGCAGAAGAGUGUUUCAAGAGGCAGUUGAAAAUUCUAACAAAGGAAGGAACAUAGUUAGCUAUUGUUCAUGUAUGCAUUAUGUGAUUGUGAAUACCUUGGAAGAGGAAAAAGAAGAAAAUACAUACUUGCUUGACGACGAAGUUUCGAAAGAUCAAUAUGGCACUGUUUUAUAAAGCUUGGAAGCCUGGUACGGGGAAAUGGGAAGGAUCUUUCUUCUUCAAAGCAUCUAACCGUGAGCUGCUUCAGUUGGAGGGUAUAAGCGAUUGUGCUCAAAAAGAUUUGUCGAUGAGCCGUCCGACGUUCCACGUGGGGCAAGGAUCACAGGGGAAUUAAAAUGAAACUGAGGGACGUUUAUCAUACAAAAUAAUUGAACAGACAGGGACGAUCAAAAGAUUCAUCUUUUUUCAAAGUAAUACCAUUAGUAGGGGAAUACUUUUAAAUUACACGUGAAAUAGAAUGCCCACGUCACGUCAUUGUUGUUCCAUCGAUUUAAAUUAAAUAACCAUUCGAUAUAAUUAAAAAGGUAAAAGUAUUGAAUUCUAUAUUUCAAUCUGUUUGCCGAAAUAUUCACGACAUAUACAUAAAAAAUAUUCGUAAUAUUUAAUUAGAGUUUUUCUUGAAUAUUCAUAUUUGGAUGAAAUAAUUUGAUGCAUAACGUUAAUUACCCAUUUAGUAUCUUAUGAAAGGAAUUUCGUGAUAGUGGAUGUCUGUAAUACGUUCUCCCAUAUUUAUCCUCAAGUACCUUCGUUUAAACCUUUCUCCAUUAUCUCUCUCCAUGUACGUGUGCUCUGGUGCGCGUCUAUCGGCAUCGGAUCGAGUGGCUUGCAUUGAGUGUGCGUGUGUACGUAGAACUCCUGCCUUAUUUUGAUAAUAAGGAAGGUAUUUUUUCAUUUGUUUUCCUGUCAUCAAACCAAGCAAACAAUAGGAGAUUGGCUGUAUAAUUCAAUAACCUAUUUAGAUUCAUUGUUUGAUAACAAGCUUACUUAUUUUGCAGAACAAUAGCCUAUUUUCUUAGGAACCAAUUGAUUUGGAACCUUAUAUAGGAAAUAUUAGAUAAUUAGAAGUGUAAUGGUAUUAUUGUUUUGCAUUCUCCAAUAGGGAGUAACUUUCCGGAACAAUUUAUCCGUUCAUAUGGAAGAAUCAUAUCAGCCGUGGUAUAUCGAUCCGCAAAAGACAAAUGUAAUCAUACAGCUAAAUAGAUAAUUGAAUUAUACCGCUAACCGUAUUAUCGCAUUGUCUGCUUGGUUUGAUGAGGGGAGAACUAAUGAAAAAAUACCAUCCUUGUUUUCAAAAUAAGUGAGGAGAUGUACGCAAACACGCGCACUCAUUUCCAUCCACUUGACUGGAACACGUAAACGCGCAUGUGCACGGAGAGAGGUAGUAAUGAAUCGUUCAAUAUGAAAGUGCUGAAUGAUAGGUAGGAGAGAACGUAUUCCUCAACGAGCAAAUCGUUAAAUGCCGAUCAAUACCCCUUAACAAGGGAAUUUGUAGUCAUGCAGAAUCAUAUAUUUUUGCAGAAAAAUCACAAUUUUGUCCAUUAUAAUUUUCCAUGAUGUCUGUGAUAAAUGUUGAAUCUAUUCUUUUCCAACAUUAUCAUCCCUCGCAUUAUGCGUGAGGUCUUUCCGUUUUUUUGUUAAAUGUAAUGACUAUCACUCCUAUCGUUUUCUUCCCGAUUAAUAUUUUUUUUUCUAAGAUGUCUGUAUUAAUGUUUGUCUUGAAGCCAAAAUUCUCCUUCGAUAUUACUUAUGGCACGAAACUUACUCGUGUUUGGAAAUUUUGCCAUUCUCUUAAUGAAAAAGAAAUGAGUAAGUAAACAGGUUGGAAGACUGAAAUUGUAUAUUACGAAAUCACGAAACGAUAUAUACCAAAGGAAUAUUACGUUUCUGAUUUUUUGGCUUAUUAGUGUAGGGAACUAUCUGUUUCACUAGAAAUUUCAAUACGACACGAGUUCAGCUUCGCAAAUCUCCCCUCAGUUUCAUGAUUGCUUGUUUACUCCAUCAAAUAUCAUUGCAUCGUACGAAGCGUACUCGCGUACAAUUGCAGACAAGUCCUUAUCUCUCUCUUUAAGUGGUUUAUAGAAGCCCUCAGACCGUUGUGAACGUACUUCUUUUUCAUAAAAUCGACUGACAUUCUUUUCAUAUAACUUGGUAAUUUGACCAUUUCUUGAUUAACUAACCGAGUGGUUCUCUCGAAGGGAAAAUACGGUAAAGAGGGGAAGGUAAUAUUAGGAAACCAUAAAUGUGACGAAAGAUUUUCUCCGAAUUCGUUUUUUAUUAUUAUGGAAUAGCGAAAAUGCUAUCUUCGAUAACUUGAGCAAUAUGCAUUUGUUUACAAGAAAAGGAAAUAAUAUUUGGAGAAAAUGUUUUCAUGCAAUAUGGCAGUAGAUAUAACUUCCGACGAAAAAAUUUUUUAAGAGAGAUGAUUUUACUAUAAGAAUUACAUAGUAUAUACGUAGCACGAAAAUUUAUAGUGAUAUCAUUAUGAAUAAUAGAAUACUAUAUAGAAUCAUUAGGAAUAAUAGAAUACUGGUAAUAGAAUACUAUAAUAUCCAUAAUAUCAUUAUGAAUAAUAGAAUACUGAUAAUAGAAUACUAUUAAGCAUAAGUCAGACUUACAAAAAAAAUAACAGUGCGAAUUUCCUAUAUUAAUAUCCGAUUAACUUCAUAAGAAUUAGUCUUCAUAAUUACAAUAAUUAUUAUUAUAAUAAUUAAUUAUAUUAUAAAUAAUUACAGUUUUAUGUGAUUAUUUCAAUUAAAAAAUAGACGAAUUAUUGUAAGAUUCUCAUUAGGAAAUUCCAUGAUAUAUUACACAGAUAAUUUCGCAUGAACAUAGAGUAUAUAUACAUAUAAUUACAUAACUAUAGGAGUGGGGAAAUUAUUUAUCCCCAUGCGUUCUAGUUAGAGAAUUAGAUUUUAGGAAGCUUGGUCUUCUAUCCAGCUAACAUGUGGCUAAUUAAACUAGGUUAAGUCAUUCUUUCCGGGAUUUGCGACCCAGUCAUACGCAAGUGUGUCUCAUACGCGAAAUAAUCCCUAGCUAUCAUACAUGACAAGACCAGUUUUACAAAUGACAGAAACGAUUGAAACACCUUUAUCACUAAUCAUUCCAUUAUUCCAUUAAUAUUCAUUAAAUUUGACAUUAUAUUUGUAUAAGAUUUAUUAAAAGAUUUCAUUUCCAUAUUAUAGUACUUAUCGGAUAAUUACUCCCAUUUGGGAUUCGUACCAUUUAGAAUAUUUGAGAUAAAUUCACUUAUAAAUAAUAAUACUUUCUUCGACUGCAUAUAAUCUACGAAAAUAUUCAAUAAAUUAUUAUAAAGUAAAUAAAUAUGUUAUAGACUUUAUAUUCGACAUUACAUUUUAGAACAAAAAAUUUAUCAUAUCUCUAAAAUAUCUUACCAUUAAAUAAACACAGCGUUGAUUGUUUUUCCAUUUAAAAGUAAUUUUAAAAAGGAAAAUGUGUUCAUAUAGUAAUCUUAUUGUUUUUCUGGCAUUUGUACUAUCCAUGUUGUACAAUCGUAUCGUCGUAUGUACGUAAGAAUAGAUAGAAUCAAUGUGAUUGCUUUUCACUUUGGAUGUGCAAUGUUAUAUUAUCUGGUGGAGCGUUGUUUUUCUUUGGAAUUACAAUUCAAAUAUAAAUCAAUUCGGCUCCUUUGCAAUACCUCCAGGCUAUCGGAACUGUUUUCGUCUUCGGUUGGUUUAGUAUAUCUCUGAAACAAUAUAAGAUUCGUAGAUUAGUUAAGACUUACGGAAGCCAUUCAAUUGUUCAUCUAAUUGUAUUGUACUCAAAAAUAAAUUUUGUUACAUCCUUACAUGUGAUAUAAAGUACCUUUUCCGAAAGGCAACAAAUAUUAAUUUAGAUUGUAUUGAUCACGAAAAUCAGUUUCAUUUCUAUAAUAGAAAAUUGAAAUUUUAUAGUAAAUCACGAACUUACGAUUACUAACAAAUUUGCCUUGUAUUGAUAGCUUAAACAAAUGACUAGUAAGAAUGAAGAAAUUGCUUCAAACGCCUGAAUACUUAUAUAACUGAUCUCUGGGACGUAUGAAGUAUGCACGAACGAAUAUUUGUUGUACCACACUCGCUCGCGUAUUACUAGUUCGACAACUACCGAAUGAAUGACCUAUAGCUUCAUCGCCGUCCUCCGAACGGCGGUAUUUAUACCCCGCACAACGCUUUGGGUUGUUAACCGAGCGAAAACGAUGGCACCCUCCGCACAGGGUUAUUACACUUGGCGUAGAUUAAUCAAUAUAUCGAAAAAACCAAAAUGCUGAUAAGUUACGUGGAAAUGAAUUUCUCUAUUGAUCUCUAUUAAUUGGGUGUAUCAUUAUCCUUUUUCUUCUAUGCUCUUCUGUCGUUUGUUUUCUCCCCUCCUUCUCUUUACAAUUUGCAAUUAGAAAUUAAUUAAAGAAUUCUGAAAAUUGCCAAUUAUGUUUCUUCCUGUUUUUGUCGUUAAAAAUAUUUAUGAAUAAGAAUUAAUCUGGAGCAAAGAAUAUUGUUUGACAAUUUUUUUUGUUAUAUCACUUUCUCUUCUUUUUCUAUUAUUGAAGAUAACAAUCUCUUUUUUACACAUCUGUGUUUUUUUAUAAUGCAUUAGUAAAGAGUAUUGAUUCAUACAAAAUCAUUUGUCACUUUUUUUUUCCUAAUAUCAUCUUUAUCUCUUCUACGUAUUUUAUUUGGUCACCAUUUACGUAAGUCAAUCGAAAUUUCCUAUUACGCGAUUGAACGACUCGGAAAGGCUUAAUUGGAUAUGGAUUGGGGGGAAAUGAAUUUCUCGGUGAAGAUAGAUUUAUCGACAGAUAGAUUUAUUGAAGGGUCAUCCGACGUUGCACGAGGAACGUGGAUCAUAGAGACUUGAAAUGAACCUGAGGGUGGUAUAUUUUGCAAAAUGAUUCAACACGUAGGGACGAUAAAAAGCUCUACCGUUGUUCGGCAGCUCGAAUUCUCAUGGAAAGAUUCAUUCGAGGUAAAUGAUUUUCAAGUAAUACGUUUUCCCAUACUUAGCUUCAAAUACGUUCACACUGAACGUAUUAUUAUUAUCUCUCUUCAUCCAUGUGUGUACAUUCGCGCCUGCGUUAGGGUUUUCAAGUGGACGAGAUGAUUGUGCGAUCCUAUGAGGGAGUGUGGUUAUUUCUCCUCUCGUAUCAUGGAAAGGAGAAAGGUAUUUUUUCAUUUGUUUUCCUCUCGUCAACCCAAGCGGACAAUUUAAUCAUACGAUGACUUGUAUAAUUUAGUUCUCUACUUAGAUGCAUCAUUUAAAUAUCCUAUUAGGUCUUUUACAGAGCUGUGUACCGUGUGAAUGAUUCAGUUCUUAGGUAGAUUCGUAGGAUUAUAUCGUCUACAUUUUCCUAAAGAUUUACUCCUGAUUGGAGAAUUUAAAAAGUUAUAAAUUAUACUUUUAGUUAUACAAUAAUUCGUGCACUGCGUUUUUCUGUUAAUUAACUCGAAGCAAAAUGUUAUAUUUCUUCAAUCGGUUAUUUUUCAUUGCGUAGAACUGAGUAUAGCAAUAACUUUAUUGUAUUUCUAUUAACAUGAUAUUCGUAUUUUUCGAAUAUAUUGCUGGAAAGUUUCAAUUUCUCAAUAAGCGAAUAUGUAAUUUAACAAGGACAUAAUUAUUCCCUCAAUAUAAUCGAGGUUAAUUAUACGUAUUAAUAUCAUUAUUAUUAUACUUACUAUUAUUGUAUCUAUUAUUACAUCAAAAUAUAAGUUAUAAAUGUUGUAGAAAGACA